CUACGGGCGGCUGCAGUGGGGAAUAUUGCACAAUGGGCGCAAGCCUGAUGCAGCAACGCCGCGUGAACGAUGAAGGUCUUCGGAUCGUAAAGUUCUUUUCUUAGGGAAGAAAAAUGACGGUACCUAAGGAAUAAGCACCGGCUAAAUACGUGCCAGCAGCCGCGGUAAUACGUAUGGUGCAAGCGUUAUCCGGAAUCACUGGGCGUAAAGGGAGCGUAGGCGGUUUUGCAAGUCAGAAGUGAAAGGCUACGGCUCAACCGUGGUAAGCUUUUGAAACUGCAAGACUAGAGUGCAGGAGAGGCAAGUGGAAUUCCUAGUGUAGAGGUGAAACUCGUAGAUAUUAGGAGGAACACCAGUGGCGAAGGCGACUUGCUGGACUGUAACUGACGCUGAGGCUCGAAAGCGUGGGGAGCGAACAGGAUUAGAUACCCUAGUAGUC
rnacentral:rRNA from 1 species